rnacentral:lncRNA from 1 species
GACUAAAAAUAUCCGAUUUUUCCAAUUGAAUGACCAAACGUAUACGAUAUCGAGUCAAUAUUGCCAAUGCGGUGACUCAAUACAUAUGCAUGAAAGACGAAAUCUCGUACAUGUUCUUAGCUAUUAAUUAUGCUACGUAGAUGACGAAACCUAGCAAUAUGAACCCCUAUAUAUGAUGACCUUGAUCGCCUAUGGCUCCUUCCUACGACAAGGCCUGUUUUUGCCUUCACAUGAUCAUAGCGAUUUCGGAACGACUGGGCGUGCAAUGAUGCAUGUACAAUUUUGACACGACGAUGUGUGUUUUCGGUUGCACACUUGCGCGCUAAUCUUCUUACUCUGGCCCACCGUCUGAUUGUAUCCGUGGUCGCAAUAACAAGUUUGAACUAAUAAUCUAGAGUAACAUAAUCCACCGUAGUAUUAAAAAUAAUUGUAAAAACGUCAACAGUUUAACAUACUAGAGCAAAUUAACAUGCAUGCAUGGUGACCAAAUUAAUUACACAUGUACAUAUAAUCAUCGCUGAAUCCCCAUCGUUGAAACUUUAAAAUUACAAGUAGUCCAUCGAUCGAUCAUCAUCAUCCCCGCACCCCAUCAACUGCUACGUACGGAUGAACUAAUUAACACACGCAUGCAUGCAAAUAUACGAUGCUUAAUUAAUUAACACCGAUCGAUCCCCAUUAAAACCAAACCACAUCGAUCAGACGUCGAAGGUGUUCUUGCCGGUGAACUUGACCUCAAUCGGGCUAACAUUCUUCCCGAUGCUCCUGAAAUUCUGCCCGACGCCCUGCCUGCCGGCGUUCACCUUCUCCGGGUACACCCCGUCCUUGGGGUGGAGGUACUGCACCUCGCCGCUGGGGAAGACGCGGUAGAACUGGUAGGCGAUCUUGUACUUGGAGCGGAGCCGGUUGCCGAGCGCCAGGCACUGCUCCUUGCGCGCCAGCUUGAGGAGGUUGGGCCCCUCACGCAUGAUGGCGGCGCCGCCCGUCGGCAUCUCGAACACCUGCUCCUUGGGCGACGUCCACGUGAUGACGUAGAAUUCCUCGACCUGGGCUUUGCGGAGGAGCCCGCCCGUGCUGCCGCCGAAGAUUGGGGAUGGGGUUGAGGGGUCGAGCUGGGGCGGGACGAAGCCGGCGGGGGCUGGGGUGGCGACGGGAGCCGCCGGGGUUUCUGGGGCGGCGGCGUGGAGGGCGGUUGGGGCGCGGGAGGUGGGGGAAGGGAAGGCGAGGGAGCGGGGUUUGGGGGAGGAGGAAGGGGACCGGGUGGCGGCGAGGAGGUGGCGGGUGGCGGCGGAGGCUUGCGUGGCCAUGGCCAUGGCGGGAGCUAGCUUAGCGAGAGCAAGGAGCGCGCGUGUGGGGGAUGGAUAUGGAUCGGAGUUGAUGGAGGGAAGAAGAAGAAGGGGUGGCUGAGCUUUGGCUAAAGAGGGGAUUGGGGGUGGAGAAGCGGAUAAGGGGAUAUGAGGCCGGCCAAUGGGGAGCCCGGGUUUUGAUACGGCCGGAGCGGGAGGCUUGGCGUGGCGACCACAGAAAACACAAUACAAAUCGCAGCGUGUCAACGUGCACUGGGGUCGCCGGUCGCGGUUUUCCGUGG